GACGAAGGAUGCAAGCGUUAUCCGGAUUCAUUGGGUUUAAAGGGAGCGUAGGCGGAUUGGUAAGUCAGUGGUGAAAUCUGUGGGCUUAACCCACAAACUGCCAUUGAUACUGCUGAUCUAGAGUACAGUUGCCGUUGGCGGAAUAUGACAUGUAGUGGUGAAAUACUUAGAUAUGUCAUAGAACACCGAUUGCGAAGGCAGCUAACGAAGCUGUAACUGACGCUGAGGCUCGAAAGCGUGGGGAGCAAACAGG
rnacentral:rRNA from 1 species